GGGGCGAUGCCCGAGUGGCUAAUGGGGACGGACUGUAAAUCCGUUGGCUUUGCCUACGCUGGUUCAAAUCCAGCUCGCCCCA
rnacentral:tRNA from 1 species